rnacentral:pre_miRNA from 1 species
GGGGGGAGGCCGCAUCCUGGGCUGUGUCCUGGCGCCCUGUGCUCCUGGGCCUGCGCUGUUGGAUUUGCGCUCCCGGCCCCGCAGCCCCCU